rnacentral:rRNA from 1 species
GACAGAGGGUGCAAACGUUGUUCGGAAUUACUGGGCGUAAAGCGCGUGUAGGCUGCUCUGCAGGUCGGAUGUGAAAGCCCUGGGCUCAACCUAGGAAGUGCAUUCGAAACCGCGGAGCUUGAGUCUUGGAGAGGGUCGCGGAAUUCUCGGUGUAGAGGUGAAAUUCGUAGAUAUCGAGAGGAACACCGGUGGCGAAGGCGGCGACCUGGACAAUGACUGACGCUGAGGCGCGAAAGCGUGGGGAGCAAACAGG